rnacentral:rRNA from 1 species
AGUGAACGCUGGCGGUAGGCCUAACACAUGCCAGUCGAACGGCAGCACAGUAAGAGCUUGCUCUUACGGGUGGCGAGUGGCGGACGGGUGAGGAAUACAUCGGAAUCUACUUUUUCGUGGGGGAUAACGUAGGGAAACUUACGCUAAUACCGCAUACGACCUACGGGUGAAAGCAGGGGAUCUUCGGACCUUGCGCGAUUGAAUGAGCCGAUGUCGGAUUAGCUAGUUGGCGGGGUAAAGGCCCACCAAGGCGACGAUCCGUAGCUGGUCUGAGAGGAUGAUCAGCAAACGUGGAAGUAUGACAAGGUCCAGACUCCUACGGGAGGCAGCAGUAGGGAAUAUUGGACAAUGGGCGCAAGCCUGAUCCAGCCAUACCGCGUGGGUGAAGAAGGCCUUCGGGUUGUAAAGCCCUUUUGUUGGGAAAGAAAAGCAGCAGGUUAAUACCCCGCUGUUCUGACGGUACCCAAAGAAUAAGUACCGGCUAACUUCGUG